UGGCUGUAAGUGUGAAAAAUGGUCAAAAGUCACUUUUUUCAGGGCCAUUAUAACUUUGAACAGUCACUAAGUGAACUGUGGUAAAUCAAGGACUACCUAUAACUUACUUGGUUUAAAAUGUUGAUUUCCCAGAAGAAAUGUGUGUGCAGCAGAGCUGUUCUCCCUCAUCAAGUCCGUUCCUUUCACGUGUGCUACCUCACUGCCUCUCUUGGAAUAUUCAAUCUUCAGUCCAAAGAACGUUAUGGAAAAAAAUAUUCCUGUUCUCAUGAUCCCGAAGUUAACCGCAUCAACAUCAUCACUACCUUCUGAAGAUUUAGAUGGCUGAGGUGCCCGGAAGGCCUCAUUUCUUUACUGCUCAGAUGAUAAAUACAUUCUGAAACUUCAAAACCUGCAAGCCAGAGGAGACUGGAGGCAUGUAAAAAACCUGGGUGCUAUCUUAAAAGAUGAACUCGAACUCAGAGUUCUGAAAAGUCAGCAAUCACAGCUCCUGAAUUCUGCGACGAAGUACACAGUUGGUCCUCAACGACCGCCAUUGAACCCCAAAUUUCUGUUGCUAAGCAAGUGGCAACUGAAAGAAAUCCCUUUUGCAGGCACGAUGAGUCCUCACCAAUAUAAUGCCACCAUCAGCAUUUGUAUGCCAUUCAAUAUUGUUUUAAAAGGAGUCUCUUAUCCAAUUCCAGUUGAAAGUCAUCUAAGCUCUGUUUCAGCAACAAACCUGUAGGAUUUCCCACUGCUGUAAAAUCUAUUUACAGUUGUGCAGUGAUGUCUAAUUGCUAGCAGACCAAUGAUGCCCUGGAUUCCUCUUCUAGGUGUCCAUUCGGCUUUCCUGAACAGCUAUGGGGACAACACAAGAGAUGCAGAAUGUAGGAAAGCAAGACAAACUCCGCUGUGUAGAGAAGUCUACUCAAAAGAUGUUAAAUGUAGCCCAAUACAAACUACAGGUCUUGAGAAAUGUAUGUUUCUUUCUACUCAUUUCCCUGUUCAAACAGGCAAAGUCCACUGACCAAAAAAUAAAUGCAAAAAAAAAAAUAGGAUAUGAAAAAAAUGUUUUCAGAUGCCAGAUCAAUCACGUUUAUUCCUCACUGAAUAUGAAGCCAUCUCCACCUAGUGGUUAAAUGCUUCUAUUG